GCCAAUCGGGUCUUCGGAUUCGUUUUGUUGGUGACUCUGAAUAACUUUGCUGAUCGCACGGUCUUGCACCGGCGACGUAUCUUUCAAGUGUCUGCCUUAUCAACUGUCGAUGGUAGGUUAUGCGCCUACCAUGGUUGUAACGGGUAACGGGGAAUCAGGGUUCGAUUCCGGAGAGGGAGCCUGAGAAACGGCUACCACAUCCAAGGAAGGCAGCAGGCGCGCAAAUUACCCACUCCGCACGGGGAGGUAGUGACGAAAAAUAACGAUACGGAACUCAUACGAGGCUCCGUAAUCGGAAUGAGUACACUUUAAAUCCUUUAACGAGGAUCUAUUGGAGGGCAAGUCUGGUGCCAGCAGCCGCGGUAAUUCCAGCUCCAAUAGCGUAUAUUAAAGUUGUUGUGGUUAAAAAGCUCGUAGUUGGAUCUCGGUUUCGGGUGGAUGGUGCAUCUUGCGGUGUUUACUAUCUACUCGGACGAUUUUGUUGGUUCGUUCCUGGUUCUCUUAAUCGAGUGCCUUGAGUGGCCAACACGUUUACUUUGAAAAAAUUGGAGUGCUCAAAGCAGGCGCUACAGCCUGAACAUUAGUGCAUGGAAUAAUGGAAUAGGAUCUCGGUUCUAUUUCGUUGGCUUUCGGAGUCGAGGUAAUGAUUAAUAGGGACAGACGGGGGCAUUCGUACUGCGACGUUAGAGGUGAAAUUCUUGGAUCGUCGCAAGACGAACUACUGCGAAAGCAUUUGCCAAGAAUGUUUUCAUUAAUCAAGGACGAAAGUUAGAGAUUCGAAGGCGAUCAGAUACCGCCCUAGUUCUAACCAUAAACGAUGUCGACUGGCAAUCUGCUCUCGUUAAAUUAAUGACUGAGCAGGCGGCCUGCUGGAAACAAGAGUAUUUGGAUUCCAGGGGGAGUAUGGUUGCAAAGCUGAAACUUAAAAGAAUUGACGGAAGGGCACCACCAGGAGUGGAGCCUGCGGCUUAAUUUGACCCAACACGGGAAAUCUCACCAGGCCCGGGCAUGCUUAGGAUUGACAGAUUGAGAGCUCUUUCUUGAUUCGGUGGGUGGUGGUGCAUGGCCGUUCUUAGUUGGUGGAGCGAUUUGUCUGGUUAAUUCCGAUAACGAACGAGACUCUGGCCUACUAAAUAGACGUCAGAUCAUUUAUUGGUCUGUCGUAUGCUUCUUAGAGGGACGGGCGGCGUUUAGCCGCACGAGAAUGAGCAAUAACAGGUCUGUGAUGCCCUUAGAUGUUCUGGGCCGCACGCGCGCUACACUGAAGAAGUCAGCGUGUAUUCCUCAUCCGAAAGGAUUGGGUAACCCGUUGAACCUUCUUCGUGAUGGGGAUUGGGGAUUGCAAUUAUUCCCCAUGAACGAGGAAUUCCCAGUAGGCGCGAGUCAUCAGCUUGCGUCGAUUACGUCCCUGCCCUUUGUACACACCGCCCGUCGCUACUACCGAUCGAGUGAUUUAGUGAGGACUCCGGACUGGUCUCUGAUGUAACUCUCGGGUUGUGUUGGUGUACUGGAAAGUUGUCCAAACUUGAUUACUUAGAGGAAGUAAAAGUCGUAACAAGGUU
rnacentral:rRNA from 1 species